rnacentral:rRNA from 1 species
AAUCAACGCUGGCGGCGUGCCUCAGACAUGCAAGUCGAACGAUUAAGACUUCCUUCGGGAAGUGCAUAAAGUGGCGCACGGGUGAGUAACACGUAAGUAAUCUACCCUCGAGUGGGGAAUAACGUUCGGAAACGGACGCUAAUACCGCAUAACGCAGCGGCACCGCAAGGUGACAGUUGUUAAAGGAGCAAUCCGCUUGAGGAGGAGCUUGCGGCAGAUUAGCUAGUUGGUAAGGUAAUGGCUUACCAAGGCUACGAUCUGUAUCCGGUCUAAGAGGACGGUCGGACACACUGACACUGAAUAACGGGUCAGACUCCUACGGGAGGCAGCAGUCGGGAAUUUUGGGCAAUGGGCGAAAGCCUGACCCAGCAACGCCGCGUGAAGGAUGAAGUAUUUCGGUAUGUAAACUUCGAAAGAAUAGGAAGAAUAAAUGACGGUACUAUUUAUAAGCUCCGGCUAACUACGUGCCAGCAGCCGCGGUAAGUCUCGCGUGA